GGGAACGACCCCUCCUCCAUCUGUUCAUCCCACUUCGACACCUGCCACAGAGCAGAGGCAAAUACAUCACUGACCGACUCUUAAGGAGCGCCACCUUCAGACAGCACAUAAAAAGUUCUGCUCCUGGUCCGGUCCUAAGCGUCCUACUCUCCAUCUACUCCAAGUUUAUUGUCCUCACCCAAGUAGUUCUGGAAACAGUUGCGGGUCUGGUUGGUGUUGGGGAAACGGGCAUCAAAGGGUGCCGUCUUGUAGUUCAUCAUCUUCUCAUCAAUGGCCUCAGACAUUAUGAAUAAGAGUUGAACAGUCGACAGAAGAGUCUAGAAAGAAAAGACACACAGUUAUUGAUGCAUUUUUUCAAACCUGACGACAUAUAACAGGUAAUCUUUCAGGUAGUAAAACUGUUUGGUUUUUUAGAUUUAGUUUAGACAUUUUGAAUUUGACCAUAACAUGAACGUUUAUGCUGAUAGGUCAUUAACCUGCUAGAUAUCAGCAUCUACUCAGUCGUUUUAAAUGUAAGGUCCAUUCACUGGCUCUGCAUCAAUUAAAUUACAUCAAAUGAAAAGGUAGACACAUGAGUUUAUUUAGACUGUCUUAGAGUGAAUUGUUUAAGAAGGCUUUGGUCCGUGAUGAGGAGCUACUAAGAGUAAGUCCAACCAAGGUUCUGUUGAACCAAAGACUCAGUUCGACCGGAAACAGAACACCCAGCACAGGCAACAACAUAAAGGAAGUUUAACACCAUUCACGUCAUCGUGUCUGUGUGUGAACAGAUGCUCGGCCUGACAGCUUUUUGUUUAUGUCGGCAAAAACACUCACUGUUUAUUUUUCAACCUUAAUUUCCUCCUCAUAUUUCGUGAUGUAACACGACAUGACAUUGACUAAACAACAGCCCGACGGAGCCUGUUCUGACGGUGCAGUCAAAUCCGACACAACACCGGACAAAACACGGCUGGAUAUUAGACACAUAGAUCAAAAUCACAUUCGAAUGUAUUUUAAAUAUUU